rnacentral:rRNA from 1 species
GACAGAGGUCCCGAGCGUUAGGCGGAAUCACUGGGCUUAAAGCGUGUGUAGGCGGAUGCCUAAGUACCUUGUGAAAUCCCACGGCUCAACCGUGGAACUGCUUGGUAUACUGGGUGUCUUGAGCCACUUAGGGGCUACCGGAACAAAUGGUGGAGCGGUGAAAUGCGUAGAUAUCAUUUGGAACGCCAAUGGAGAAAACAGGUAGCUGGGAGUGUGCUGACGCUGAGACACGAAAGCCAGGGGAGCGAACGGG